CCUACGGGUGGCAGCAGUGGGGAAUAUUGGACAAUGGGGGCAACCCUGAUCCAGCCAUGCCGCGUGUGUGAAGAAGGCCCUCGGGUUGUAAAGCACUUUCAGUGAGGAAGAACGCCUGGUGGUUAAUACCCAUCAGGAAAGACAUCACUCACAGAAGAAGCACCGGCUAACUCCGUGCCAGCAGCCGCGGUAAUACGGAGGGUGCGAGCGUUAAUCGGAAUUACUGGGCGUAAAGCGCGCGUAGGUGGCUUGAUAAGCCGGUUGUGAAAGCCCCGGGCUCAACCUGGGAACGGCAUCCGGAACUGUCAAGCUAGAGUGCAGGAGAGGAAGGUAGAAUUCGCGGUGUAGCGGUGAAAUGCGUAGAGAUCGGGAGGAAUACCAGUGGCGAAGGCGGCCUUCUGGACUGACACUGACACUGAGGUGCGAAAGCGUGGGUAGCAAACAGGAUUAGAUACCCCGGUAGUC
rnacentral:rRNA from 1 species